rnacentral:misc_RNA from 1 species
AAGACUAUAGACCUGCGGAGUACCUGCGGAAGGAUCAUUACCGAGUACCGGGUCUUCUAGGCCCAUACUCCCACCCUUUGUGUACCAAACCAAACUUUUUCGUUGCCUCGGUGGGGUUGAUCCCGGCCUAACACGCUGGGGGACCCGCCGGGGGGACACCACUAAACUCUUGUUAACUGUGAAGUCUGAGACAACACAUAAUAAGUCAAAACUUUUAACAAUGGAUCUCUAGAUCGGAAG